AUGUGGACGCUCCCUUUAGCACUCUUCUUAGUUGUGUUCAUUUGUCACCUUGAAGUCUGUCUUCAGUUUUUCAGCAAAGCAGACUCUUCAUUUUGGUUUCUAGUGUGGUAUUAUCCUCCUUCCCUCCAUAACUGGGUGGACUUGCUCUGUCAAAAGCAUGUUUGGCCUGCUUUACUCAGAGGAGCAGAAUACCUUGGCUGGCUGAGGCUGGGGAAAGGAUGAGCUGAAAGAGCUUGCUACUGCUUUCUUCUGUUACAGGUUUUCUAAUGAUCUGAAAGUUUGUCUAACCUGUUUUGUUGUAUCUCGUUUUCAAACUGGAAGUAGUAUUAGGAAUGAGAACGUCAUUUUGUAUAUUUUUGCGUACUUAAGCACAAUUCUGAUUUAUUUGACUAUAGAUAGUGCUAUAGAAAUUAUGAAAAUUACCUGUAAGUUGAUGGAAAAAAUAACCUGAAGAAUCUCUUGUUUCUGACUUUAACAAUUGAAUUAUUGUAUGGUCAGGGGCUGCAUACGUAUACCUACUCUUCAUUUUCUUUUCUUUCUCAUACUCAGAUGCAGAUCUUUAUUUUUCAGCUUCAGGAGAGUCUGAAGUGGUACCAUAUUUCUAUCAGAAUAAGACUGUCUCAACUGUGUUAAUGCAAACUUCUUUAGUUCCAUGCAGCCCGAUGCAUGUGUCAGACAAAUCUACUGUGGUGGCUAACCCUAGCCAGGAUCCUGUACAAGAUAGUUCAUAGUAAAGAGUACAACUACAGUAAUAGAUUGGUUCUUUUAUAGACUUCAUAUCCAACAUUGCCUCCUAAAUCCAUAUAAAUAGAAAUUUUUCUUUAGACAAAGGGAUUUCUGAUUUUACUGAAUAGCUGCUGUAAAUGUAUUAAAUAUUUCACUUUCUGUGUAAAUAUCUGUUCAUGUACCAAGUCUUCAAGAGCUCAACAAAGUCUUAGGUCUUAGAGCUUCACAAUUCAUGUUGAACAAUGAAAGAAUUUCCUCUUACUUACACUUUAUGCAAAAAUGUAGAUGUAAGUGCAAACAUAAGUGCUUGAUAUUCUUUGUAUUUCCCAUAUAGUAUUUCAAAUACCUGACUUUUUAAAUUGUUCUCUAACUUCUAUCAUUUUAUGAUUUCUGUGAAAAGAU
rnacentral:lncRNA from 1 species